rnacentral:rRNA from 1 species
UACGAAGGGUGCAAGCGUUACUCGGAAUUACUGGGCGUAAAGGGUGCGUAGGUGGUUUGUUAAGUCUGCUGUGAAAUCCCCGGGCUCAACCUGGGAAUGGCAGUGGAUACUGGCAAGCUAGAGUGCGGUAGAGGGUAGUGGAAUUCCCGGUGUAGCAGUGAAAUGCGUAGAGAUCGGGAAGAACACCGGUGGCGAAGGCGGCUCUCUGGACCGAGACUGACGCUGAGGCGCGAAAGCGUGGGGAGCAAACAGG